ACCAACCUGUGGUUGGAUGGUUAGGAGGGCAGUGGCACCCCAAGCCCACCAGAGUUCAAAUCCCAGAUUUGACACUUUGGUGUCUCAUAAAGGCGGAAUAUUCUUCAGUGGGAGGCGACGUUCCCGUCGACAGCGAGGCGCCUGUGGUGACUUCGUCAAUCUCAAGACCCGCCGGAUCAGUUCUUCAACGCAGUCUCUUGGAGGUGCUCAUAGGGGUAGGGUGUGCGUGUGUGCGUUCAUAGGGGUGAGUGUGUGCGCGUAUGUAUGAGCGUCUUUGAUUG